CCACCAGGAGGUCCGCCGUGGGGCCCCGGGGAUGGCGGGGACAGGCGGGCCGCUGGUGCAAGGAAGAAGACCUAUCCUCCUUUAAUCUGGUACUCAUUCGGUAACACUAAGCAUCCAUCCUUAAAACUGUUUCUACGGUUAUUUAAUUUUUGCUUCAUACAAAAAAGUGUGCACGUUUUUUGUUUCCUCUUAAAUACUCCCAUAUUUGGAGUAUGCAUAAAUUUAUUUAUGCACACAAGGUUGAAUUAUUGCAUUACUGUAUGUAAAGUUUUUUUUAUAUUGAAGCCAAGCUGUAGACUUUAUACAUGCCCCUAUGGUAGUGGUUAUGUGCAAGCACUAAAAAAUGUGCAUAUAAAACUAUCUUUAUUUCUUUUUUUUAAAACAAAAGUUUUCACUUGCUGAGCAGUUUGAAUACCCUUAUAAUAUUUGUAAAAACAAAGUGUGUAGAUGUGAUAUCAUUUAAGUUUGGAUCAAAAUGCAUCUUGCAGGUACUCAGUAUGAUUACGGAUAUCUAAUGCAGCCAUGUAACACACAAAGCUGAGGCCAUUUGUCUUCUAUUGAAGUCAAUAGGUGUCUAUAGACUUCACUGGGAGCAAGACUGGGCUCCUCCUUUAUAAUUCAUGGAUAUGCACUUUGAAUAGUAAACAAAGAUAUGUAGUAAUUAGGUUAUCUUUAGUGUGCAUUUUUGGCAUGGUUUCAACUGUUGUUGUUUAUCAGGAAACUUGUUUUGAUUGUUUUCUUUUUAUUUGCCCCUUUGUACUGUGUUUGACAUCACAAGUUGCCUUAAUCAUGGCAGUGUUUAAAUACUGGGAAGCCAGAAAUUGAAUGUAAUAUUUUUAGUCCCCAAUUUAAAGGAAAAGGCAGCAUUUAUUUUUCUUUAAGACUGCAGUCUUUUUUCAAAACUCUGACUUUGAACACUUGUUUAAUUUCAAUAAGCCCCCAGAAGCACUUCAAUUGCUAUUUCUUUUUUAUAGCCAUUAGGUGGCUAAGUGAUAUGAGCCCUGAAACAACAAUACGCAUAUUUAUUUAAGUGGUCCCUCCCUUUGGUAUAAAAGGAAAGAUAAAAUAUAUUGGCUAGGUACAAUGGAAUAUAUGCCUCUGGUAUAACUUUCCUGAAAAUAACAGAGUAAUCCUGGCAAUCACUUUCUGUCAGUAAGAGAGAACUGUUAGCUGGAUGGUAGGUCUAAAUUGCAUUUGGUUUUUAGUCAGUGACUUGUUUAUGUAUUACUACCCCUCCAAAACUCCCAUUCAGAUUAGUGGGGAUUUAGGCACAGCAAGAAAUGUAGUUCCAGGCCUAUAGCAUAAAGCCUAUAGUAUAAAGCACAUGUAAUAGCAUAAAGUGUAGUUGAAGCUGUCCUGGGUAGAAGGAUGGGGUCUUUCUUGCAAUUUUCCCUUUUGAUGGCAAAAAGGGAGGCAUCUGCAUAAAGUUUACUCAAAUGAAUGCCAAUGUUUGUGCUCUUGUGUAUGUGUGUUUUAGAAUUGAUAUUUUUUGUUAAAUGUAAAAGACCACUAAUUUUAAUGAAUCUUGGCUUUUAUAUGAGCAGAAAUAACACUUUGCUGCUUAGUAAAGUGUUGUGCUGUUACAAGGUCAUGGUAGGUAUUUAAAUCAGGUUUUGUAGGGAUAAUCUUAGGAAUCCUAGUUCUGUGGUGAUUUAAUUGCUUUACAUACACGCUGUUUUCAUUUGCUGGUCAAUAGUAUUCCUAGAUCCCUGAAUGUUAAUAUAUAUAAUUCCUAGAUUGCUCCUAAAGCAUGGGAAAAUGGUGAACGACUCCCCUGACUUUAUAAAACAAGUGAGUAGCUUUAAAAUCAGCUAAACUUUCUGUUGACUUAGAACACAAAAUUAACUUUUAAAGCAAAACAAAAUUAUUGUUUUUGUGCUGUUCUCACUUUAUAGUUAUGACAUCCUUUAAAAGUUAUUAGAGAUAGUUAGCCAUGUUGAUCUGAAUCUGAGGAAGUAGGCUGUCCCUUAUGAAAGUUUAUGCCUCUGGGAAUCAGUUAGUAUCUAAAGUACCACCCUGGCCUGUCUGAUUCUUUAAAGUGAUUAUCUUUCUUUUCUUACUUAUGCAAAAAACCCUGUAUCUUGUCCAGUUCUAAAGUAUGUCUAAUUUGUUAAGAUGGUUAUAAGAGACUAUUUUAUAUGAAUGUUUUGACACCUAUUGACUUCCCAAAAACUAAAAAUGAGUUUAGUAGAAAUACUUUAAAAUCCCAACUGUAAGGGCAAGCAUUUUUCUUCCUGAGUUGCAAUUUUCUUUGAGAUUUUUUAUAUGAAUAGAGAGACUUCUAUUUGGGAUGACUACAAAUGUUGCCUGGCUGUCAUUAUUCCAAAGGCCAUAGAUGAGUAAGAUUCCACUUGGCUUCAUAGGGGUUUUCCCAGAGCUGGAACACAAACACUCAAACUUGCUCCCACUGAAUUAAGUGGCAAAACUGUUAUCGAUUUCCAUGGGAAUAGGGUUGGUUUGUAAGUAAAGCACUGCAGGGUUUCCUUUAAAUUAAUUUAAAUGGUUUAGCAACUUUUUAAUAUUACAAGUAUGUUUUUGAUGUUUAAACAUACUCCAGUUGUUACAACAAGCUUGUUAAAAAAGUGAUAUAUGCAAGUGUAUUUAUACCCAGGUUUCUUGUUUGUGUCUUUCUACUGGUGAAAAUAAUCUAAAGCAUUCUGUUUUGGGAAGGCUCUGGUUUUUGACUCCUUUGUAUGUUGACCUAUUCAGGAGAAAUGUCAGUUUGCCUUCAGGCCCUUAAUGAAGUAAAAUAAUAUCCGUCAAGUCAGCCACCAACAAUCCUGGAGAUGGAAAUAGGGAUCUGGAAAAUUUAUGAAAAUACAUUUUUCUUCUGUAAUGACUGAUUCUUGCUUCCUUUCCAACCCUCCUCAUCCUGCACAUGCAGACACACAGUAAAUGGAAAUUACUUCAUCCCUAAGUCAAAAUGACCGACUCCCAGGCUCUCAGGGGCUUUUCCUCUAAUGAUCCACAUAUAUAAUACAACCUUAAUUAUGUGUUCAUGACUGCUCCACCAUGAUCAUUUUUAAGCUUUAAAAGUGGCUUCGUAAUUCUGAACUUAUUUGUCCACUUACUUGUUAAACUACCGGAAUGCAUAUAUUAUAUAAACAAUUUUGUUUAUAGAACUAGCCCAUGAGAGCUGUGGCUCUGCGUGGUCUCAUGGCUAUAUGUACCGUUUUCUGCAUUAUGGCUCAUAGUCCACAAGUAGACUUUAGAGCAAAAUGUUUUCAAAUUAACAAUGGAAAUUGGAAAAGAUGUUCAUUUGCUAACACAGGGUUGAAGACUGCUGUGCAGAAGGGCAUGGGGGUGUAUUCUGCAGCUUCUGCACAGACAGUGUUCUCACAGAAUAAUGACAGCCAAGAGCUCUGGAAAACAGAACUUUUUUGGACCAGCUGUCCAUAAGGUGCUUUCAGUUAGUUUGAGCAUUAAGAUCUCCAUUUUUGGUCACUGCUGAUGCUAUAUUAAAGACAGUAGACAUAGACACCUCAUUCUUUAAAUCACUUUAGAUUUUAUACUGCAUUCUUUAUUCUGGCAAAACUGAUGGAUUUUAUAGUAAGACUUCAGGGUAAAUGAGAACUUCAGGUUUUUAUCAUGUGGCUAUUUCUAACAUUCAAGAAAAGUAAUCAGAUGUGAAAUUUAAAAGAAAAUACUCAGCAAAACACUUCAGAACACAAAAUAGCACAGCUGUUCUGAUCUUAUGUUAGAAGUUGGCCCUGAAAACUGUAAUAUUUACUAUUGUGAAAGUGUUUACAAAAUGGACCCUUUAAUUUGUCAUUUCUUUCAGAAUUGUUCACAAUUGAUUUUGGCUUUAUUAGAUAUUCUCUUAUUAACUUUAUGCAGACCUCUAAACAAUUUUAAUGAGUAUUUUGCAUAUGAACACUACUCCAGAGUUCUAGAGUAGCAAAUGCUUUUAGCGGCUUUCAAAUUGUUGUUUCCCUAUUGAUAUAUACCAUUUGGGCCUGGUAGUGCAUUUUUGUACACUCAGAACUAUCACUGAUUUAAAUAGGAAGUAUAGAUCUAUUAAUAGGAGCCAGGUAGGAGCCAAAAAGUCAACAAGAUUCUGUCUAGUAAACUACACAGUCACAAUCUGAAGUAGCUUUUCAAAAUAUUUGUAAGUUCCUUAUUUUUUUUCUGAUUAGCACAUCUUUUCCACACAUUGUAUUUAUAGGUCAUAAGCAGGGUCUUUGAGAUAGGGGUACAGUUUUACUAGGCCCCCAAGCUCAGGGAGGCCCCCAAAAUCAAAUUGCUCUCAAUAUUUUUUUUCCUGUUUCCAAAAGGAAGCUGGGUAGUCCCCCUUCCAGGAUGUACCAAACUUUCAAAUUCCUCUCAUAGGCUGUGGUCAUUGGAUGUGGAUUUGUCUACUGUCUCACUAUUCAGAUUAAUAAGAUAUGCAGGCAUGAAUCUGCAUUCAGAAGGAAUUGUGAUCCUUUCUGUAGACUCAAGAUAUCACCCAUUUUUUCCCAUUAGGUACUCAGUUCUAAAGCCCCAGUACAAGUUUGACAUAAUGCCCUUUUUCAUUUCUGUGUAAAAUAUACAAUGGGAGUUUGUAUUUUUGUCAGGAAUAUAUGGAAUACAAGCAUCUUCCUCCACCAUACCUUCCCGCUUAAUUUAGUUUGAAUGAAACUGUUUAAUGGAAAUAUUAUUAAGGCUUCAUAGAAAGCAUUUGCAAGCACUUUAAAUGUCAAGUUACUAGUUGAAGUUAAUAUUUCUUCAUAUCACAUGGAAUUGGAUCCAGUUCUACAGAUUUUAAUUUGAAAGAAACCUGUUAAGGGCAAUGGAAAAUCUGUUUCAAUAGCGACUGCCUAUAUUUGGAAAGGAAGUCUAGAUAUAACUGAUUUCUGCAUCUGUUUGCUGUAACUUUUAUCUCUUUUCCAGGAUUUUGCCAUUGUGUCAGGCCCUUAGACAACAACUUAAAAUGCAAAUAACGGUCCAGACUCUCAGUUUUGGUUAAGUCGGUAGAAUUAUACUUCUAAUAAUAUACUUAAUUAUACUAGUUGAGGAUCUGGUCCUGUAUGUCUUCCUCUUUUUUACAUAUCUCCAGCAAGAGGAGAAAGUUAAAAACAUUGGUUUUAAACAAUUUUAAACAUUUAAAACAUUUUAAAUUGAUUACUUUUGGGGGAAAAAAACUAGUAGUUUUCCACAGUUUAAAGUUGAGGUAGACUUUCCCUCAGAUAAUUUUAAAAGGGAGAAAAAUACAAUCCACAUAGUUCAUGUUUCUAAAAAUGUCUCUAAAACCUUAACAUUUUCAUAUUAGAAGUAGGUUCUGACUCCCACAAAGUGCAAGGGGGAAAAAUUGUCCACUUUUAAAUAUAGAAAUGUAUUUAAGCAGUAUUUUAUAUGUUUGUCAAAAUAAGGAGAAUCCUAGGAUCAAAUUUAGCAUUGUCCAGUUUUUCACUAAAAGGGUAUUAAAUACAGAAAUUCAGCUAGCUAUUGUUAAGUGCAUAUGUGAGAUUUUAUUUCACCAGAAUUCAUUUGUUUACAGGCAUAAAUUGAAACUACCCUCAGGGUGAAAUGCACUACAAGUAUACAUAUAAUGACGUUGUGGCAAGUUCCUAGCUGAAGUCUGAAGUGAUCACAUUACAGAAUGCUGUGAGUUUGGAACAUAAGGACAGCAAAAUAGCUCUGAGAAUUGCACUAAGUGUGUUGCACAUCAGUGAAAUUUUGAUUAGAUGAGGAUCAUGUGAGUAUUGACUGUGUGAAACCUUUGAAUACCAAAGUUUGUAACUGGUUGGACAAGGAUUUGUAUCAAGUUUUUUGAAUGUUAUGACAAAUAAAAUGUAUUUUUCAGUAAAAGACAUU